rnacentral:hammerhead_ribozyme from 1 species
ACACGGAUGAUGAGUCCGACAAUAGGACGAAACGGCCGUCCAGUGU